rnacentral:rRNA from 1 species
CUCAGUAACACGUGGCCAAACUACCCUUCGGAACGCAAUACCCUCGGGAAACUGAGGCUAAUAGUGUAUAUCAUUCCACCGCUGGAAUGAGUGGUAUGCCAAACGCUCCGGCGCCGAAGGAUGUGGCUGCGGCCGAUUAGGUAGAUGGUGGGGUAACGGCCCACCGUGCCAAUAAUCGGUAUGGGUCAUGAGAGUGAGAACCCGGAGACGGAAUCUGAGACAAGAUUCCGGGCCCUACGGGGCGCAGCAGGCGCGAAACCUUUACACUGCACGACAGUGCGAUAGGGG